rnacentral:rRNA from 1 species
CCACCACUAAGCCAGUGGUGAACUCCACAUACGCAUCCUUUGCUGAGGAUACGGUUAACGGAGCGAAAGCGACGUUCAACCUCAAAAGAAGCAGAGGGGGCUUAGUGGUGGGGUGACUGCGUACCUUUUGUAUAAUGGGUCAGCGACUUAUAUUCUGUAGCAAGGUUAACCGAAUAGGGGAGCCGGAGGGAAACCGAGUCUUAACCGGGCGUUAAGUUGCAGGGUAUAGACCCGAAACCCGGUGAUCUAGCCAUGGGCAGGUUGAAGGUUGGGUAACACUAACUGGAGGACCGAACCGACUAAUGUUGAAAAAUUAGCGGAUGACCUGUGGCUGGGGGUGAAAGGCCAAUCAAACCGGGAGAUAGCUGGUUCUCCCCGAAAGCUAUUUAGGUAGCGCCUCGUGAAUUCAUCUCCGGGGGUAGAGCACUGUUUCGGCUAGGGGGUCAUCCCGACUUACCAACCCGAUGCAAACUGCGAAUACCGGAGAAUGUUAUCACGGGAGACACACGGCGGGUGCUAACGUCCGUCGUGAAGAGGGAAACAACCCAGACCGCCAGCUAAGGUCCCAAAGUCAUGGUUAAGUGGGAAACGAUGUGGGAAGGCCCAGACAGCCAGGAUGUUGGCUUAGAAGCAGCCAUCAUUUAAAGAAAGCGUAAUAGCUCACUGGUCGAGUCGGCCUGCGCGGAAGAUGUAACGGGGCUAAACCAUGCACCGAAGCUGCGGCAGCGAACGUAUCACCCAAGACAACUUUACGGAGUUGACGAUUGAUGGAGCGAAGCGACGUCAAAGCGUUCAUUAAAGUCGAGUUGGCUUAGGGAUACGUUCGUUGGGUAGGGGAGCGUUCUGUAAGCCUGUGAAGGUGGCCUGUGAGGGUUGCUGGAGGUAUCAGAAGUGCGAAUGCUGACAUAAGUAACGAUAAAGCGGGUGAAAAGCCCGCUCGCCGGAAGACCAAGGGUUCCUGUCCAACGUUAAUCGGGGCAGGGUGAGUCGACCCCUAAGGCGAGGCCGAAAGGCGUAGUCGAUGGGAAACGGGUUAAUAUUCCCGUACUUGGUGUUACUGCGAAGGGGGGACGGAGAAGGCUAUGUUGGCCGGGCGACGGUUGUCCCGGUUUAAGCGUGUAGGUGUGUGUUCCAGGUAAAUCCGGUUCACUUUAACACUGAGGCGUGAUGACGAGGCACUACGGUGCUGAAGCAACAAAUGCCCUGCUUCCAGGAAAAGCCUCUAAGCAUCAGGUAACAUCAAAUCGUACCCCAAACCGACACAGGUGGUCAGGUAGAGAAUACCAAGGCGCUUGAGAGAACUCGGGUGAAGGAACUAGGCAAAAUGGUGCCGUAACUUCGGGAGAAGGCACGCUGACACGUAGGUGAAGUGAUUUACUCA